GAUGAACGCUGGCGGCGUGCCUAAUACAUGCAAGUCGAGCGAACAGACGAGGAGCUUGCUCCUCUGACGUUAGCGGCGGACGGGUGAGUAACACGUGGAUAACCUACCUAUAAGACUGGGAUAACUUCGGGAAACCGGAGCUAAUACCGGAUAAUAUAUUGAACCGCAUGGUUCAAUAGUGAAAGACGGUUUUGCUGUCACUUAUAGAUGGAUCCGCGCCGCAUUAGCUAGUUGGUAAGGUAACGGCUUACCAAGGCAACGAUGCGUAGCCGACCUGAGAGGGUGAUCGGCCGCACUGGAACUGAGACACGGUCCAGACCCCUACGGGAGGCAGCAGUAGGGAAUCUUCCGCAAGGGCGAAAGCCUGACGGAGCAACGCCGCGUGAGUGAUGAAGGUCUUCGGAUCGUAAAACUCUGUUAUUAGGGAAGAACAAAUGUGUAAGUAACUAUGCACGUCUUGACGGUACCUAAUCAGAAAGCCACGGCUAACUACGUG
rnacentral:rRNA from 1 species